UGCAAGUCGAACGAGAGAUGAGGAGCUUGCUCUUCAAAUCGAGUGGCGAACGGGUGAGUAACGCGUGAGGAACCUGCCUCAAAGAGGGGGACAACAGUUGGAAACGACUGCUAAUACCGCAUAAGCCCACGGCUCGGCAUCGAGCAGAGGGAAAAGGAGCAAUCCGCUUUGAGAUGGCCUCGCGUCCGAUUAGCUAGUUGGUGAGGUAACGGCCCACCAAGGCGACGAUCGGUAGCCGGACUGAGAGGUUGAACGGCCACAUUGGGACUGAGACACGGCCCAGACUCCUACGGGAGGCAGCAGUGGGGAAUAUUGCACAAUGGGGGAAACCCUGAUGCAGCGACGCCGCGUGGAGGAAGAAGGUCUUCGGAUUGUAAACUCCUGUUGUUGAGGAAGAUAAUGACGGUACUCAACAAGGAAGUGACGGCUAGCUACGUGCCAGCAGCCGCGGUAAAACGUAGGUCACAAGCGUUGUCCGGAAUUACUGGGUGUAAAGGGAGCGCAGGCGGGAGAACAAGUUGGAAGUGAAAUCCACGGGCUCAACCCAUGAACUGCUUUCAAAACUGUUUUUCUUGAGUAGUGCAGAGGUAGGCGGAAUUCCCGGUGUAGCGGUGGAAUGCGUAGAUAUCGGGAGGAACACCAGUGGCGAAGGCGGCCUACUGGGCACC
rnacentral:rRNA from 1 species